rnacentral:rRNA from 1 species
GUAUAUCGACACGAUGCUACUAGAGAAUCCACAGACCACACACCUGAACACACACACAAAAAAGCUGCCUUUGAUGGCCACCAAGGCCCCGAGCUGCUCCACCCGCUUCAGAUCUCCGGCCAGCGCCGUUUGGUUCCUGCCGGCCGCCGUCUUCAUCCUCCUGCUCCUCCUUCUGCGCCGCCCGACCAUGGACCCCUAUGCUCCCGCUUCUCCUCGUGGUCCCGUGUCUUCCCGGCGCGCCGAUCUGUACGGCAGGAUGGCUCGGGACCUUGAUGAGCGCGGCGCGGCGUUCUUGAAGGGCGGCGAGACGUCGCAGUCCCUCACGCUCUCGGACCUCUUCGACGUCAGGGACGGCGCCGUCGUGCCCAAGCUCAAGGCCGCCGACCCGCCGGUGCGUGCAAACGUGCUCUACCUGGAGCCGGUGUUCGCCGCCGAGAUAGCGAAGGCUGUGAAGGAAGUAUUUCUUCCUUAUUUUGAUAAAGCUAUCUGGUUCCAAAAUUUGAGCAUGUAUCACUUCAGUAUGUUUCAUGCCUCCCAUCAUCUGGAGCCAAUCUUAGCAACCAAGGAUGAGAUUGAAGCCGAAGUCGAUGCUGUAAAAGGAGUUACUGAGGCUGUUUGUCCCCUUAAAAUUUCCUUGGAUCGAGUGGUUUUGACGUCAACUGGAGUUCUUCUUGGCCUGUGGCAGGUUGAAUCUGGUACUGAUCCUGCCGACAUCCGCUCAAAAUUGAGAGAAGCUCUACCUCGAGCACCCCAAAAGCAGUUGUAUGAUCCUGUUCUCCUCCACACAUCCUUUGCGCGAAUUCUGGGACCUCCUAAGCUCCCACAACAGGAGGACACAUCAUCUUUCAGUCACAUCAAAUUCUUCCAUGACCUCGUUGCACAGGUUAAUGGGAAAAUCCGUGGCUUCCAGGCAAAGGUAUCAGAGCUGUGGUAUGUAGAGGAGUACGAUGUGCUAGCCCUAGCACUGAAUGGAAAGAUGAGAGUGCGGAGGCUCCACCUUGGCUGCAAUGAGGGCCAAGAUAACUGAUGACAGUAAAGAGAACACCACCAGGGUAUCAGUGCGCAAUGCAUCGUCUCUAUGAGUUAGCAAUGCUUGGGAGUGCCUCUAUGAUUAACAUAUACUAGUGUGUGCCUGUAGCGUGGGUUUGUGAGCCGCGCUACUACUACUUCACAGUAGCAUUGGGUAGGGAUCUACCUAUAAGGUAUUUCCUCGUAGUGUUUUGCAGUGAGCUGCUUAUUUUUUACUCAGCAAACCUUUUGCCGAGUAGCUGACAAAUAACACUCAGCUUAUGUCGUUAUGCCUACCAGGAGUACGCCGAGUCCUUUUUGUCGAGUGUAACACCCGAUAACUUUUUGCCAAGGUUGAAUUUAGCCUUCACCGUGCAGUCUUCGUACUUGACUUGCGCGGUUUUUCCUAUAAUGAAAGAGAGGAAGUGUCGAUAGCAAUGGAUCGCUCGAUCAAAAUGAGACGACAAGGAUCCCAUCACGCUGGUGGAUGACCGAACAGCUGCCAUGUCAUUUAUGCGUGUGACCGAACAGCUGGCGUUGCGUCGCGUCCGUGUCCAG